AACGAACGCUGGCGGCAGGCCUAACACAUGCAAGUCGAGCGAAGUCUUCGGACUUAGCGGCGGACGGGUGAGUAACGCGUGGGAACGUGCCCUGGGGUGCGGAACAACCGCUGGAAACGGCGGCUAAUACCGCAUGAUCCUCUUCGGAGGCAAAGAUUUAUCGCCCUGGGAUCGGCCCGCGUCGGAUUAGGUAGUUGGUGGAGUAAUGGCCUACCAAGCCGAUGAUCCGUAGCUGGUUUGAGAGGAUGAUCAGCCACACUGGGACUGAGACACGGCCCAGACUCCUACGGGAGGCAGCAGUGGGGAAUCUUGGACAAUGGGGGCAACCCUGAUCCAGCCAUGCCGCGUGAGCGAUGAAGGCCUUAGGGUUGUAAAGCUCUUUCACCGGUGAAGAUAAUGACGGUAGCCGGAGAAGAAGCCCCGGCUAACUCCGUGCCAGCCGCCGCCGUAACAC
rnacentral:rRNA from 1 species